AAUCGUGGACUAUGGAAGCAGC
rnacentral:miRNA from 1 species